CAGCCGCCGCGGUAAUACGAAGGGGGCUAGCGUUGUUCGGAAUUACUGGGCGUAAAGCGCACGUAGGCGGCUUGGUAAGUUAGAGGUGAAAGCCUGGAGCUCAACUCCAGAAUCGCCUUUAAGACUGCCGAGCUAGCAGGUGAGAGAGGUAAGUGGAAUUCCGAGUGUAGAGGUGAAAUUCGUAGAUAUUCGGAAGAACACCAGUGGCGAAGGCGGCUUACUGGCUCAUACUGGACGCUGAGGUGCGAAAGCGUGGGGAGCAAACAGGAUUAGAUACCCCCGUAGUCCCUGUCUCUUAUAC
rnacentral:rRNA from 1 species